UACGUAGGGUGCAAGCGUUAAUCGGAAUUACUGGGCGUAAAGCGUGCGCAGGCGGUGAUGUAAGACCGAUGUGAAAUCCCCGGGCUUAACCUGGGAACUGCAUUGGUGACUGCAUUGCUGGAGUAUGGCAGAGGGGGGUGGAAUUCCACGUGUAGCAGUGAAAUGCGUAGAGAUGUGGAGGAACACCGAUGGCGAAGGCAGCCCCCUGAGCCAAUACUGACGCUCAUGCACGAAAGCGUGGGGAGCAAACAGG
rnacentral:rRNA from 1 species